UUCCAUCAGAUAGAAAAGUUCCACUGUCGGUACUGAAGCUCCUCAGCAGUGCAGUAGCGGCCUCUCCGUAUGUGCUGGUGACCAUCAUUCUGGCAGUGAAGUGUUACAGAGCUCGAACUGACCCUGACGAGGACAACAGACCGUAUAGAGUGAUAGAAGCUGAAGCAUCUGUCUGAGUCUCAGGGAACAGACGUGAGAAAUGCGACAUGACAAAAGAAAGAACGACUCAGAUCGGGAGGUGAGGUGAACUAACAGACUGUAUAGCCUGAAGACCUAAUGCUAAGCUAUUAAUUAAUCAUUUCUGUUUCUCAUAAUUUGGC